CCUACGGGAGGCAGCAGUGAGGAAUAUUGGGCAAUGGGCGCAAGCCUGACCCAGCAACGCCGCGUGAAGGAAGAAGGCUUUCGGGUUGUAAACUUCUUUUAAGAGGGAAGAGCAGAAGACGGUACCUCUUGAAUAAGCCACGGCUAACUACGUGCCAGCAGCCGCGGCAAUACGUAGGUGGCAAGCGUUGUCCGGAUUUACUGGGUGUAAAGGGCGUGUAGCCGGGCUGACAAGUCAGAUGUGAAAUUCCGGGGCUCAACCCCGGACCUGCAUUUGAAACUGUUGGUCUGGAGUAUCAGAGAGGCAGGCGGAAUGCCUGGUGUAGCGGUGAAAUGCGUAGAUAUUAGGCAGAACACCAGUGGCGAAGGCAGCCUGCUGGACGCCAACUGACGGUGAGGCGCGAAAGCGUGGGGAGCGAACAGGAUUAGAUACCCUUGUAGUC
rnacentral:rRNA from 1 species